GAAACCCCCAACAUUUAGUUUAAAAUUCAAACCUUUUAAUUACCUUUAAAACUCUUAGAGCAGCCAAUAGUAGGCAUUAGCAUACAAGAUCAACCAAUAAAGAAGCUCUAAGCGAAGUAACAUAAACGUGUGUUUUUUGGAUUUAAAGAUUUUUGGUUUCUUAUAAAUAGUGAGCAAUCCACUUUUGAUCUUCAUAAACAAAUUUCUACUUCCCAAGAUUGUAUCUUCGACUUCUAAAACAAAACAUUUAAUUUAUCAAAAUGGUGGCCAUUAAGAAGACAACUUUUUUCCUUUUAUUCAUUGCCAUUGCAAUGAUCUUUGCUAGUGGAGUGUCUGCUGAUAGAGUUCCAGCAUGUGACGAGGUAUGCGGUCGUAUAAACCGUGAAAAGGAUUCAUGUUGUCAAGCUCAUGGAUACUCCUAUUCUACAGGAUGCCGCGGUGGAAUGCAGUGUGCGUGAAAACUUUCUUUAUUUUUAAAAACUAUUAAUCAUUGUAUACAAUAAAUAUUUAAAUUCAUAAAAUAAAACUACUUUUUAUUUAAAUUUGAAAAAGACAAAAAAUUUGUGUACAUUUUUUUUUUAAUUUCUAUAUCAAAAACUUAAGGUAUACUCGUAAGAAGUGAUUUUUUUUAAAUAUUUUGCUGUUUUCAACAAAAUUAAAAAAAGUCGUUGUCCAAAAUGAAAUAAAUAGAAAAUUUGUAUUUUUAAAGCCCACAAAAUAUCAUACUUUCUUAAAAAAAAAUUCAUGUCACUUCACUUCCUGGGUUAAUAUGAAAUUUUUGUCAAAAAAUAAAAUAAGAACGAGCUCUGAAAUGAUGCUGAAACCUCGAACCGAAAAUAAAACAUAUUUGUGCCUAAGAUCUUAUUUAGAACUAUAAAUAUUGAUUUAAUUGUUAAACUUUUCAUAACAAAUUUACUUUGUACUUCGAUAAGUAAUAUAUGCAAACACUAACAUAGAAAAAUCGGUCCGAUUUGUCGAAUAAAA